GGUGAUGUAGAUACAGGACAACAAGCUGGAGGUGGUCGGGGAGACAGGGUGUUGUAGAUACAGGACAACAAGCUGAAGGUGGUCGGGGAGACAGGGUGAUGUAGAUACAGGACAACAAGCUGAAGGUGGUCAGGGAGACAGGGUGAUGUAGAUACAGGACAACAAGCUGAAGGUGGACAGGGUGUUGUAGAUACAGGACAACAAGCUGAAGGCGGUCGGGGAGACAGGGGCAAGACAGGGUGUUGUAGAUACAGGACAACAAGCUGAAGGUGGUCGGGGAGACAGGGUGAUGUAGAUACAGGACAACAAGCUGAAGGUGGUCGGGGAGACAGGGUGUUGUAGAUACAGGACAACAAGCUGAAGGUGGUCGGGGAGACAGGGUGUUGUAGAUACAGGACAACAAGCUGAAGGUGGUCGGGGAGACAGGGUGUUGUAGAUACAGGACAACAAGCUGAAGGUGGUCUGGGAGACAGGGUGAUGUAGAUACAGGACAACAAGCUGAAGGUGGUCAGGGAGACAGGGUGAUGUAGAUACAGGACAACAAGCUGAAGGUUGUCGGGGAGACAGGGUGAUGUAGAUACAGGACAACAAGCUGAAGGUGGUCGGGGAGACAGGGUGAUGUAGAUACAGGACAACAAGCUGAAGGUGGUCAGGGAGACAGGGUGAUGUAGAUACAGGACAACAAGCUGAAGGUGGUCAGGGAGACAGGGUGAUGUAGAUACAGGACAACAAGCUGAAGGUGGUCAGGGAGACAGGGUGAUGUAGAUACAGGACAACAAGCUGAAGGUGGUCAGGGAGACAGGGUGAUGUAGAUACAGGACAACAAGCUGAAGGUGGUCGGGGAGACAGGACAACAAGCUGAAGGUGGUCAGGGAGACAGGGUGAUGUAGAUACAGGACAACAAGCUGAAGGUGGUCAGGGAGACAGGGUGAUGUAGAUACAGGACAACAAGCUGAAGGUGGUCAGGGAGACAGGGUGAUGUAGAUACAGGACAACAAGCUGAAGGUGGUCGGGGAGACAGGGUGUUGUAGAUACAGGACAACAAGCUGAAGGUGGUCAGGGAGACAGGGUGAUGUAGAUACAGGACAACAAGCUGAAGGUGGUCGGGGAGACAGGGUGUUGUAGAUACAGGACAACAAGCUGAAGGUGGUCAGGGAGACAGGGUGAUGUAGAUACAGGACAACAAGCUGGAGGUGGUCAGGGAGACAGGGUGUUGUAGAUACAGGACAACAAGCUGGAGGUGGUCGGGGAGACAGGGUGUUGUAGAUACAGGACAAAAAGCUGGAGGUGGUCAGGGAGACAGGACAACAAGCUGAAGGUGGUCGGGGAGACAGGGUGUUGUAGAUACAGGACAACAAGCUGGAGGUGGUCAGGGAGACAGGGUGUUGUAGAUACAGGACAACAAGCUGAAGGUGGUCGGGGAGACAGGGUGUUGUAGAUACAGGACAACAAGCUGAAGGUGGUCAGGGAGACAGGGUGAUGUAGAUACAGGACAACAAGCUGAAGGUGGUCGGGGAGACAGGGUGUUGUAGAUACAGGACAACAAGCUGAAGGUGGUCAGGGAGACAGGGUGAUGUAGAUACAGGACAACAAGCUGAAGGUGGUCGGGGAGACAGGGUGUUGUAGAUACAGGACAACAAGCUGAAGGUGGUCAGGGAGACAGGGUGAUGUAGAUACAGGACAACAAGCUGAAGGUGGUCGGGGAGACAGGGUGUUGUAGAUACAGGACAACAAGCUGAAGGUGGUCAGGGAGACAGGGUGAUGUAGAUACAGGACAACAAGCUGAAGGUGGUCAGGGAGACAGGGUGAUGUAGAUACAGGACAACAAGCUGAAGGUGGUCGGGGAGACAGGGUGUUGUAGAUACAGGACAACAAGCUGAAGGUGGUCGGGGAGACAGGGUGUUGUAGAUACAGGACAACAAGCUGAAGGUGGUCGGGGAGACAGGGUGUUGUAGAUACAGGACAACAAGCUGAAGGUGGUCAGGGAGACAGGACAACAAGCUGAAGGUGGUCGGGGAGAUGGGUCAAUGGUUAAUGCAUGCUGAUUAUGUGUCUUUUUGCUUUAUUUCAUGAGCUCAGGGUUGCAUGCUUUAUUGUAUGAGAUAUUUAGUGUGGGAUAUAGUGAUAUUUGUUCUGGGCUAUAGUGACCUAUCUAUUAUGAGAAGGGUGCUGUUUCUGCCCGAUGUAUGUCUGUGCCAUGUCAGAUCAGGCCUGGGAACUAUGUGAGUGAGGGAAGAUGGGAUUGUAUUCUGUUAUUAUUUAUUGUGUGUAUUAUGAUUUUCAAAGGUGGUAUAUACAUUAUUUUCCUACAUUGGCGCCAGUCGUCCUCUUGUGGUAAUGACUUUUGUUUGGCUAUGAAAGUGUCUAGUCCUUAUGACCAUGUCUGUAAUUAUGCUGUUAGAAGACAAAAUAACAUCAUCACAACCAGAGAAACAGUGUAUACAGAGCCUCAGAUAAGCUGCGUAUCUGCGUAAAAUACACAUCAGAAAUGCAGAAAUACGCAGUGAAAUAAAAUCCAAGCGUAUCAAUUACGCAAUGAACAUUAUAGAUACGCUACAAAAAUAAAACUGAUAU
rnacentral:lncRNA from 1 species